UAAUAAGUGUUUUAUGGCACUUUUUAAAUCCAUAUCCACCUUGUGUGCAAUGUCAGUCAAUCUUCUUCAUGGAGAUCGACCAAACAUCAACCUUUAUCUUUUAACUCUUUGUCUGAAAAAUAUUAUGAAUAAACAAUUCAAAAUA
rnacentral:misc_RNA from 1 species